rnacentral:rRNA from 1 species
UACGAAGGGGGCUAGCGUUGUUCGGAAUUACUGGGCGUAAAGCGCGCGUAGGCGGCUUUGUAAGUUAGAGGUGAAAGCCCGGAGCUCAACUCCGGAACUGCCUUUAAGACUGCAUCGCUAGAAUCAUGGAGAGGUGAGUGGAAUUCCGAGUGUAGAGGUGAAAUUCGUAGAUAUUCGGAAGAACACCAGUGGCGAAGGCGGCUCACUGGCCCGAUACUGACGCUGAGGCACGAAAGCGUGGGGAGCAAACAGG